rnacentral:rRNA from 1 species
AGAGUUUGAUCAUGGCUCAGAACGAACGCUGGCGGCGUGGAUAAGACAUGCAAGUCGGACGAGAUUUUUCGUUGUAGCAAUACGAUGGAAAGUCUAGUGGCGAACGGGUGCUUAACACGUGGGCAAUUUGUCUUAAAGUGGGGGAUAGCUCGGCGAAAGCCGAAUUAAUACCGCAUGUGAUUAGAGUGGACAUCCAUUCGAAAUUAAAGGUGGCGCAAGCUACCGCUUUUUGAGGAGCCCGCGGCCUAUCAGCUUGUUGGUGAGGUAACGGCUCACCAAGGCUUUGACGGGUAGCUGGUCUGAGAGGACGACCAGCCACACUGGGACUGAGACACGGCCCAGACACCUACGGGUGGCAGCAGUCGAGAAUUUUUCUCAAUGGGGGAAACCCUGAAGGAGCGACGCCGCGUGGAGGAUGAAGGUCUUCGGAUUGUAAACUCCUGUCAUUGGGGAACAAGUCGCUUACGUUAACUGCGUGAGCGUUGAUAGUACCCGAAGAGGAAGAGACGGCUAACUCUGUGCCAGCAGCCGCGGUAAUACAGAGGUCUCAAGCGUUGUUCGGAUUCAUUGGGCGUAAAGGGUGCGUAGGCGGCGCGGUAAGUCGGGUGUGAAAUCUCGGAGCUUAACUCCGAAACUGCAUUCGAUACUGCCGUGCUUGAGGACUGGAGAGGAGACUGGAAUUUACGGUGUAGCGGUGAAAUGCGUAGAUAUCGUAAGGAAGACCAGUGGCGAAGGCGGGUCUCUGGACAGUUCCUGACGCUGAGGCACGAAGGUCAGGGGAGCAAACGGGAUUAGAUACCCUAGUAGUCC